UACAGAGGGUGCAAACGUUGCUCGGAAUUACUGGGCGUAAAGCGCGUGUAGGCGGCUUCAUAAGUCCGACGUGAAAGCCCGGGGCUCAACCCCGGAAGUGCGCUGGAUACUGUGUAGCUAGAGUCCUGAAGAGGAGAGCGGAAUUCCUGGUGUAGAGGUGAAAUUCGUAGAUAUCAGGAGGAACACCUGUGGCGAAGGCGGCUCUCUGGGCAGGUACUGACGCUGAGACGCGAAAGCGUGGGGAGCAAACAGG
rnacentral:rRNA from 1 species